GACAGUGUUAUGUAGUGGUUUGAGUGUUGGACUAUGACUCUAGAGACCAGAGUUCGAAUCUCCACUCAGCCA
rnacentral:tRNA from 1 species